rnacentral:lncRNA from 1 species
UAUCCCAAGCCCUAUUUUGUAUUUUAUUUGGAGACAGGGUCUCAUCUCACUGAGUUGCUUAGUGCCUCACAGUCCCUGAGGCUUGGUUUGAACUUGUAAUCCUCCUGCCUCAAUCCCCCAAGCCACUGGGAUUACAGACAUAGGCCAUCAUGCCCAACACCAAAGUACCAUUUUGGAAAAAUAAAAGAAGUCAGGCAUUUAGCCCAAGAGGUAUUCUUCACACAGUGAAUUGUAAACUCUGAAGGGUGGCAACUGGGAACAGAGUGACAGAACUCAAAAGAGAGAUCAGGAAAGACUUGCAUAGACAAAACAUUUGAUAACAUCACAAAGGUCACAUUUCCAUUAUUUGGAGAAAGACAUAUGAUUCCAUAAAAAGUAGUGGGACCAUUUUGAAGAUGCCUAAUGAUGUAGUUAAGAACAUGAAAUCCAAUCCCUAUCUCAAUCUUUCCAUCCAAAAAAACUCCAGAUGCUCUGAUACACUAAAUGUAUAAAUCAUCAAAGUCCAGGAACAAAAUAAAUGAAUGUUUACACAAUGGAGGAGCAUUUCUAAACCUCAAUGUGGAAAGCAAGAAGGCAAAGUUGGUUACUAAUGCGAGUUUUGUAUGUAUAUUGAGGUGUAGUGUGUGUGGACAUGUCCACACAUACACCAGCACACAUUGCUCUUGUACUUUCCACCACAAUUUUAUUUAGAAACUUUAUUAGGUUAAGUAUGUCUCAGGAAGUAGAACGGUGCUUACUGGGAUGAGUUACAGGGAAAAGUGGCAAGAGAGUAUUUAAUGAGGACAGGUUGAAUUUGUGAGUAGAAAAGUCCUGGGGAUGGACAAAUGAUAGUGAUGGCUGUAUCAUAAUGAGAUUCUCUUUGGUGCCAUAGAACCAUACUCCUUUUUAAAAAGUUAACAUGUUAAAUGUCUCAUAUCGUGAACUUGUACAACUGCAACUGUGUUAAUUCUGUUUUUAAAAUACCACAUAUAUUCUUUUUUUUAAAGAUUUUUUUUCUUAGUUGUUGAUAGAUCUUUAUUUUAUUUAUUUAUCAAAGGUGCUCAGAAAGGAACACAGGGCCUUGGACCUGCCAGACAAAUGUGCUUCGGCUGAGCUGCAGUCCCAGCCCACGUGGUAACUUCCUAAAAAAAAGUGUCUGAG